rnacentral:rRNA from 1 species
ACUGUAUGUUUAACGGCCGCGGUACUCUGACCGUGCGAAGGUAGCGCAAUCACUUGUCUUUUAAAUGGAGACCUGUAUGAAUGGCACGACGAGGGCUUGACUGUCUCCUUUUUCCAGUCAAUGAAAUUGAUCUUCCCGUGCAGAAGCGGGAAUAUUAACAUAAGACGAGAAGACCCUGUGGAGCUUUAGACACUAAAUCAGCCCUUGUCCAAAACCCCUGUUAAGGGACUGAACGCUAGAGAUUACCCUGAUCUAUGUCUUCGGUUGGGGCGACCUCGGGGAAGAAACAAACCCCCGCGCGGAACGGGAGUCUUACUCCUAAAACUAAGAGCCACCACUCAAAGCACCAAUAAUUUUGACCUACAAUAUGAUCCAGCUUAACGCCGAUCAACGGACCAAGUUACCCCAGGGAUAACAGCGCAAUCCUCUUUUAGAGCCCAUAUCGACAAGAGGGUUUACGACCUCGAUGUUGGAUCAGGACAUCCUAAUGGUGCAGCCGCUAUUAAGGGUUCGUUUGUUCAACGAUUAAAGU